UGGGUUGUGGCUCAAUGGUAGAGUGCUCGCUUAGCAUGUGAGAGGUGCUAGGUUCAACCCUCAGCACUACAU
rnacentral:tRNA from 1 species